GACGAACGCUGGCGGCGUGCUUAACACAUGCAAGUCGAACGGAAAGGCCCUGCUUUUGUGGGGUGCACGAGUGGCGAACGGGUGAGUAACACGUGAGUAACCUGCCCUUGACUUUUGGAUAACUUCAGGAAACUGGGGCAAAUACUGGAUAGGAGCUCCUGCUGCAUGGUGGGGGUUGGCAAGUUUCGGCGGUAGGAGAUGGACUCGCGGGUUAUCGGCUUGUUGGUGGGGUAGUGGCUUACCAAGGCUUCGACUGGUAGCUGGCCCGAGAGGGUGACCGGCGACCUGGGGCCUACGGGAGGGAGCAGACGGCAACAUGGGGCAGCAGGGGGAAAUCUUGUCCAGCGGGCGGACGCGUGAUAAGGCGGUCCUGGGAGCGGAAUGCACUCUUUGGGGGUGUAAACCGCAUUCACUUAAGACGUAGCUUGUGUGACGGUACUGAGUAAAGAAGCACCGGCUAACUACGUG
rnacentral:rRNA from 1 species